ACUUGCUUCGGCAGUACAUACUAAAAUUGGAACGAUACAGAGAAGAUUAGCAUGGCCCCUGCGCAAGGAUGACACGCAAAAUCGUGAAGCGUUCCACAUUUUU
rnacentral:snRNA from 1 species